UUCAUUUUUUAUUCACCAAUGUAGCAUUCAACCCUGCAUUUUCUUCUGGAAUCGCAGCUCCUUCUCGUUUCUGCUUAUUCUGAUUCAUAGAAAUCUUGUAAACCUCGUAACAGGAGUUCAGUCAUCUUUUUGAAGUGUUUUAUAAAUGUACCCAGAAAGGGCCUAACAGUCUGUUGGUUUGUUAGUGUGAUUCUGGCUGAGGGUCUGAUGGCGUCGUCAAACAGAGCACGGCGUGACUCUCAUUGACUGUAUAUGAGAACUUGAGUGAGCGGGACGCUACGCAUAGAAAAUGGCUCUCUACCGGCUCCAAUGAAUUUAACUCAAUUUGUCCGCCAUUUGUUUGCGAUGAGGACGCCACCAUGCUAGGUUCAGCAGUGAUUGGUCGGAGUCACCAUUUCUAUGGACCACUCUCGCCAAUCAGGAGUGAGUUUGUUGGAAGUCCACACCCCUACCGCUUCAGGAUCAGAUAUCAACCACUACUUUUAUUAAGGCAUCUGAUUGGUCAGUUUCUAACUUGGACUGCAGAAAAAAUACUUUGGAAAAAAGAAAUAGGAUUAGCAAGAACAUGUUAUUAACAGGUAGUAGAACAACAGUGUUUACUGAGGAAUAGCCGUUUAUUUCUCAAUAGAAGUCUAUGGGAUUUUUGGGACCCAGUGGUUACUUCCUGUUUGGGACCCGAGGGGGGAGGGAUCAGUCAGUCCAGUUCUCAUAAACAGUCAGCGGUUACAACAGGCAUCUGUCAAAACAUGUUAGCAUAAAACCACAUGCUUUGUUUGCUUUUCAUUGGGUGGAACAAAAACAAAAGUCUGCCACAUGGAUGAUGUUAAACAUAAUUUGUCUUCACGAUAGGGGGAGAAGCAGGAUUUUGGUCGACAAUCAUGGUUUGGCGCACUUAAGUACACGUUAGCUGGUGUGAUCAUGUCCUUAAGAUGGACCAGUCGUAACUUUUCUUUUUACUUGUGUGUUUUUUAAAGAAGCCAUUGUGCCUCCCGCCACCACCACCACCACAACCACCACCACCAGAUCCACUACAACUCAUAGUCCAUCAGUCUCCCCUGAUCCCAGUGAUCCACGUGGUGGUGGAAACUCUGUUGAAAUUGGCCUUGGCAUUUUUGCAGCGGUCGUCGGGGUUGCCGCCCUUGUCACCUCUAUCAUAUUAUACAAAAAGAGAAGCGCACAGAGAAGUACGGACAGAGAGACUGCAAAAGAUGGAGAGAAUUUGAGACUUUCGGUAAGAAGGAGUAUUUCAAAGAUUUCUUUUUUCUUUCAUCACUUAAUAAAGCAAUACAAAGAGGAAAACUAUAACUUGACUAAUCAGACCAGAAAAUGGAAGUCUCAUGUAGAAAAAGGGAACAUCUGAGCCUCACAAUAGAAAUAUAAAGAUCCUGUUUUAAAUUUUGCUUUAUAGCUCUGUUUAAAAAAAAAAGAAGAAGAAAUGAGGAAAAACUGAAAGAAAUGCUCUGAGGUAAAAUAAAGUUUCUGAUGUUUAUUUAGACUAAAUAUUAUUCUUGCCCUAAAAUAUUUAAUCAGAUCCUAAAGUUUUAGUGUUUCUAACUGAACAAUAAUUAGUGUUCUAAUCUGAUAACAAUGACUGUGUCUAAAUUCCUUCAUUACUCCCUAAAAAGUAUAUAGUGCUAAUGCUUAAUACUACUACUACUAUUUUUUAAUGGAAUAUAUGAGAUCACAUGUUUGCUGAAGUUAAAAACCUAAUAAAUAUGAACAUUUUACGAAGAUUUUUUAUUUAAGUUGUAAACUGACCAAUCGGGUUCCUCAAUAAAAGUAUGGAAGCGAUUCUGUAGCAUAAUUAAAAAUAAAAGUCAAAAGCAGAAAUGCUUUUUCAUUUUCAAAAUGAAGCUGCAUUUUUUGACUCAAAAUUAAAACGAAAAAGAAAAAAUAAAAAAUUUUGUUCUGGACACCACUGAAACACAAAUUCAUAUGAUGGUUUCUGUGAUCGUAGCAGCAUUUCCGCCUUCGGCGAUCGGGAGCUUCGUGCUCCACUAUGUGAAUGCAGCUGGCGCUCCGAAGAGAAAAAAAAGGACGACAGCAGAAGGCGUAAUUGCUGCUACGUCCUGAGAAGCUGUGUAAACUCAUCAGAAGUUCACAACCAUCACAAAAACCUCUUCUCUGCCGCUAACACAAAGCUCCACUGCUCCUGGUGUGUCUGUGUCUGUUAGCAGACAGACACACAGAGGAAACAGUGACGCCAUCGCCCCGCCUCCUCGCUGGAAAUGCUUUUUUCCAAUUGAAUAUUGAGACAAUGUUCGCAGGGUGGAUGUGAAAAUGCAAAUGCAAUCCCCUCUUUGCAUUUUAGUUUUAAUUAUGACACAGAAUAAGCGGUUUUUAAGUAUAAAAUGAAAAAGCAUUUUGAAGUAUUGCUUUUUCUUUUUCAUUUUGAGACACUUGAUGCAGUUACAUUUUGAAAAUGAAAAAGCAUUUCUGUUAAUCCAUUUUAAUUGUCAAAUUAGACAUUUCUAAAUGAAUUUUGCUACACAUUUACCAGAGAACUUUUUGAAAAUGAAGUGUC
ensembl:lncRNA